rnacentral:rRNA from 1 species
UACGGGAGGCAGCAGUGGGGAAUAUUGGACAAUGGGCGCAAGCCUGAUCCAGCCAUGCCGCGUGAGUGAUGAAGGCCUUAGGGUUGUAAAGCUCUUUCGGCGGGGAAGAUAAUGACGGUACCUGCAGAAGAAGCCCCGGCUAACUUC